rnacentral:rRNA from 1 species
GAUGAACGCUGGCGGCGUGCCUAAUACAUGCAAGUCGAGCGAACAGACGAGGAGCUUGCUCCUCUGACGUUAGCGGCGGACGGGUGAGUAACACGUGGAUAACCUACCUAUAAGACUGGGAUAACUUCGGGAAACCGGAGCUAAUACCGGAUAAUAUAUUGAACCGCAUGGUUCAAUAGUGAAAGACGGUUUUGCUGUCACUUAUAGAUGGAUCCGCUCCGCAUUAGCUAGUUGGUAAGGUAACGGCUUACCAAGGCAACGAUGCGUAGCCGACCUGAGAGGGUGAUCGGCCACACUGGAACUGAGACACGGUCCAGACUCCUACGGGAGGCAGCAGUAGGGAAUCUUCCGCAAUGGGCGAAAGCUUGACGGAGCAACGCCGCGUGAGUGAUGAAGGUCUUCGGAUCGUAAAACUCUGUUAUUAGGGAAGAACAAAUGUGUAAGUAACUAUGCACGUCUUGACGGUACCUAAUCAGAAAGCCACGGCUAACUACGUG